GACGGAGGGAAUAUUAACUUUCACAUACACAUAAUUUUUCCAGUGACAGUGCAGUACCUUUUUUUCUAGUCUUCCGAGCUAGUUUCCGAGGUAAGAGCAAAGGGCAAAAAAAAAAUGGGAAUAUGGGACUUCAUUUAUUACGGUGUGCAGAAGCUUGGUCAGUGUGUGCCCAAGAUGAUCAAUUUUUUAACAAAGUUCGUUUAUGCCGUUAAACAAGUAGCCAACAUCUUCAUUCCUGAUUGUGAUCCAGAGUUCGCUAUCCGACCUCACAUUUAGCGUUGAGGCCAUUUGCUAACAGAUUAAGGGUGAGCUUCUAUCCAUGCCAGGCCGCUUGAAGAUCUUCCUUAUCUAAUGUCUAUUUUCAUUCCACACAUUGAUGUUUAUUUAUUUCAGACAGUAUGAAUUCCUUAGACAUAUUUUGGAUUAGAGUCCUUGUACAGUGACUUUCGGAUUUGGGGGAUUGUAAUAGUUAUGACUUCUGCAUUUACGUUAUUGUUUUAUGGCAUGACUACUUUUUCAUG